rnacentral:rRNA from 1 species
UACAGAGGUCUCAAGCGUUGUUCGGAAUCACUGGGCGUAAAGGGUGCGUAGGUGGCGUGGUAAGUCAGAUGUGAAAGCCCGAGGCUCAACCUCGGAAUUGCAUCCGAUACUGCCGUGCUGGAGUACUGAAGAGGUGACUAGAAUUCUCGGUGUAGCAGUGAAAUGCGUAGAUAUCGAGAGGAAUACCAACGGCGAAGGCAGGUCACUGGGCAGUUACUGACACUGAGGCACGAAGGCCAGGGGAGCAAACGGGAUUAGAUACCCCGGUAGUCCUGGCAGUAAACGGUGCACGUUUGGUGUGGGCGCAAUCGACCGCGUCCGCGCCGGAGCUAACGCGUUAAACGUGCCGCCUGGGAAGUACGGUCGCAAGAUUA